UUCAAUUUAAUUUAUUUAAUUUUUUAUAUAAAACUUUUCUAAUAUUUCAUAAAUAUAUCAUAUUUUAAACCAAACUGUAUAAAUAUUCCCACCUCUGCUUGUAAAACUGAAUUAAAACAGAGUUGCUUCCCCUAUCUGUGCCAUAAACAAAUUAAACCUCGCUCAAUAAAAAAAAAUAUAGUAUAUAUCCUUAAAAUGAUAAAUUCCUAGCACAGAUCUUUGAUUGUAGUGUAUGAUAACUGACAAUAUUUUCCUAUAUGUUCAUUCAAUAGCAUUGGGAAAAAAAAUUUAUUCAAAAUAAUAUAUAUGGUAACAAUAUCUAACAAGCAAAUCACCCUUUUUUUUCUGGUUGCGAAUGCAAAAAAGUGAAAUUGCCAAAUAAUUCAACAAGAAAAAAAUAAAGGGCUGGUAAAAUGGUAGGAGUUAUCAUGAACAUUAUGAUUUAUGAAAGCAGAUGAUGUGUCUUUCAGACAUGGUUGACCUCAUUCAAUAAAAUUACUAGUAAAUGCUACUACUUUGGCUUAAAUGCAAUCUUAGCCUGCCAAGCAUACAAUGUAGGUCAUGAUGAUCUUAAUGUUAUAGAAUAGUAUUUCAUAAACUAUAAAACAUUGUAGCAAUAUGACACUGAUAUUAACUAUGAUACAUAUCUAUUGUGGACCUAAUGUGGCUUAAGAACCCCUCCCC